rnacentral:rRNA from 1 species
AACGAACGCUGGCGGCAGGCCUAACACAUGCAAGUCGAACGCCCCGCAAGGGGAGUGGCGCACGGGUGAGUAACGCGUGGGAACCUGCCCUUCGGUUCGGGACAACCCAGGGAAACUUGGGCUAAUACCGGAUGAGCUCCGCGAGGAGGAAAGAUUUCUCGCCGGAGGAGGGGCCCGCGUCGGAUUAGGUAGUUGGUGAGGUAACGGCUCACCAAGCCUUCGAUCCGUAGCCGGUCUGAGAGGAUGAUCGGCCACACUGGGACUGAGACACGGCCCAGACUCCUACGGGAGGCAGCAGUGGGGAAUAUUGGACAAUGGGGGCAACCCUGAUCCAGCCAUGCCGCGUGGAUGAUGAAGGCCUUGGUUGUAAAGUCCUUUCGCGCACGACGAUGAUGACGGUAGUGCGAGAAGAAGACCUCGGCUAACUCCGUGCCAGCAGCCGCGGUAAU